UCACGUUUGGAAUCUAAUCGAGCCUCUGGUGAAAAGCAACUCAUCGACCCAGAUCCAGACAGUCCUUACAGUCAUCUUACCCAUGGCGACACAGCUAUCUACGAAUCCAUCCCCCCAAGCAGAAAUCUUGACACUGGAGAAGGAGACCAUCGUGCUGCAUUGUGAUCAGCUGAAAUGUCGCAACACAAGCAAUCUAGAAGAAAAAAGAGGCGUGAACAUCUGCUGUCCUUUAAGACCACCAAGACAUUUUUCAGCUUUGUAAAGACCUGCACAAUCUGUGUGUAAUUUAACCACCACUCAUGAAAUCACUUAGAAAUCAAGCUUUUGCAAUUGAUCAUUCUUUAAUGUAUUGCUUGUGAAAAUGGAAACUAGAAAUA